rnacentral:tRNA from 1 species
GAGGGUAUAGCUCAGUGGUAGAGUGCUUGCCUAGCAUGCAUGAAUGAGGUCCUGGGUUCAAUCCUCAGUACUGCCA